rnacentral:tRNA from 1 species
AGAGGGCUGGCGGAGUGGUCGAACGCGGCGGUCUUGAAAACCGUUGUACCGCGAGGUACCGGGGGUUCGAAUCCCUCGCCCUCUGCAA